AACGCGAAGAACCUUACCUGGGCUCGAACGGCUUUGGAUCGACGGUGGAAACACUGUUUUCCCGCAAGGGACCGGAGUCGAGGUGCUGCAUGGCUGUCGUCAGCUCGUGUCGUGAGAUGUUGGGUUAAGUCCCGCAACGAGCGCAACCCUUGUCCUGUGUUGCCACUCCGUAAGGAAGCACUCUCAGGAGACCGCCAGCGAUAAGUUGGAGGAAGGUGGGGAUGAUGUCAAGUCAUCAUGGCCUUUAUGUCCAGGGCUACACACGUGCUACAAUGGUCGGUACAAAGCGCUGCAAACCCGCGAGGGGGAGCUAAUCGCAAAAAGCCGGCCUCAGUUCGGAUUGCAGGCUGCAACUCGCCUGCAUGAAGCUGGAAUCGCUAGUAAUGCCGUAUCAGAACGAUGGCGUGAAUACGUUCCCGGGCCUUGUA
rnacentral:rRNA from 1 species